AGAACGAACGCUGGCGGCAGGCCUCAAACAUGCAAGUCUAGGGGGUGUAGCAAUACAUCACCGGCGGACGGGUGCGUAACGCGUGGGAAUAUACCUAUUGGUUCGGAACAACUGAGGGAAACUUCAGCUAAUACCGAAUGUGCCCUAACGGGGAAAGAUUUAUCGCCAAUGGAUUAGCCCGCGUUCGAUUAGCUAGUUGGUGGGGUAACGGCCCACCAAGGCGACGAUCGAUAGCUGUUCUGAGAGGAAGAUCAGCCACACUGGGACUGAGACACGGCCCAGACUCCUACGGGAGGCAGCAGUUGGGAAUCUUGGACAAUGGGGGAAACCCUGAUCCAGCCAUGCCGCGUGAGUGAUGAAGGCCUUCGGGUUGUAAACUCUUUCGCGCACGACGAUAAUGACGGUAGUGCGAGAAGAAGCUCCGGCUAACUUCGCGCCAGCAGCCGC
rnacentral:rRNA from 1 species